UGUUGUAAGCGACUCUGAUUUCCAUUUUAGAUCUAGUCACAAUGUCUGGUUCUGAUUCGGAAAAUUUUUAUUCAGAGGAUAAUUCUGUUGUUAUCUCUGAGGAAUCUGAUGAAGAUAAUGUGAAAGAAGAUAAAGAAAAUAGUUUUAUUUUUCCAAACAAUACAACAACCGUUUGUGACAAAGACACUGUCGGAGAAACGGGCCAAACCUCACUGCCAUUCUCCUGAAAAUUAGCAGAGCUUAAAAUAAACGGCUUCAUCGUUCUCGAGAAAGCUCAAGGCUCUUGGCAUUUCUUAAAGCCUAAGCACUCCCUUUACCUGCUCGACUGUUGUGAUGUAUCACAUGGCCAAAAC